rnacentral:rRNA from 1 species
UACGUAGGGUGCGAGCGUUGUCCGGAAUUAUUGGGCGUAAAGGGCACGUAGGCGGUCUGUCGCGUCGGGAGUGAAAACUCGGGGCUUAACUCCGAGCCUGCUUCUGAUACGGGCAGACUAGAGGUAUGCAGGGGAGAAUGGAAUUCCUGGUGUAGCGGUGAAAUGCGCAGAUAUCAGGAGGAACACCGGUGGCGAAGGCGGUUCUCUGGGCAUGACCUGACGCUGAGGAGCGAAAGUGUGGGGAGCGAACAGG